GACGAACGCUGGCGGCGUGCUUAACACAUGCAAGUCGAACGGAAAGGCCCUGCUUUUGUGGGGUGCUCGAGUGGCGAACGGGUGAGUAACACGUGAGUAACCUGCCCUUGACUUUGGGAUAACUUCAGGAAACUGGGGCUAAUACCGGAUAGGAGCUCCUGCUGCAUGGUGGGGGUUGGAAAGUUUCGGCGGUUGGGGAUGGACUCGCGGCUUAUCAGCUUGUUGGUGGGGUAGUGGCUUACCAAGGCUUUGACGGGUAGCCGGCCUGAGAGGGUGACCGGCCACAUGGGAAUUGAGAUACGGCCCAGACUCCUACGGGAGGCAGCAGUGGGGAAUAUUGCACAAUGGGCGGAAGCCUGAUGCAGCAACGCCGCGGGCGGGAGGACGGCCUUCGGGUGGUAAACCGCUUUCGCCUGUGACGAAGCGUGAGUGACGGUAAUGGGUAAAGAAGCACCGGCUAACUACGU
rnacentral:rRNA from 1 species